CCCUCAUUGGCAGCCAAGGAGAAUGAGGCUUUGUUAAGGGAACUUGUACAGAUGUGGUCAAAUUACAAGAUAAUGGCGAGGUGGCUAUGUAGAUUCUUUGAAUACCUUGACCGCUAUUACAUCCGCCGUCAUUCUCUUGUUUCACUUACUGACGCCUUUGUUGAUUGCUUUUGUAAUCUGGUCUUCAACUUGUUGGCUGACAAUUCAAGCAGCUGCAAUAUCUCUGAUUAAUCAAGAGUGUUAUGGCCAGCUGAUUGAUGAAAAGCUGCUCCAAAAUGUUACGAGUAUCUUUAUGGAAAUUGGUCAAAAUAUGUCGCUAGCACACUAUGAAAUCAUUGAGCAGGCUAUUCUCAGAGAAACCGCCACUGUCUAUUCCCAAUUAUCUUCUGAGUGGCUUUUAUGUGAUUCGUUUACCAAUUAUAUUUAGAAGGUUUUUCUUCUAUACAAGCUUCUGAGGUUGAUACUAACUAUGAUACAUAUGUAUGUGAUUCCCUGUAUUCUACAGGUGAACUGGUGCACCUUGCAGGAGAAAGAAAGAGCUGGCCACUAUCU